AACUUGUUAGAAGGUUACUUGUUAGUUCAGGACCUCAUUACUUUCUGCCUGAACUAUUGCAGUAGCCUCCUAACUGGUUAU
ensembl:miRNA Mir872 microRNA 872